AUGACUCCCCCCCCCCCAUCCCAGAGUCGACCCACCAUGAAUGGAAGUGGGGGGGAGAGCCUCCCCUUUGUCCCCUCGAGCUGCAAAGGGCCCCAGAGCAGCAGGAGGGGGGAAGUCCAGGAAGAGACGCCCCCCCCCCCCACUAAUCCAACACGCCCUCAGCUCCACGGGAAAACCCACCACACGCGCAGAGGUGGAUUUGGAGUGAGCCAAGCUCCCGGCCCGCCCACCCCUCUGGGUAAGAAUGGAACAGCCCACCUUUCCCUCAGGGAAGGCCUCGAGGCCUGGCUCUCCUCUCGCCCUCAGCAUGGAGGGGCCCCGCCACUGCCGAGGGGGGUCCACGAAGGGCCGGGCGCCCCCUCCCCACAAGCCCAGCCUCCGCUCCCUCCUCCCUUCAAUUUACCUCAGCGCUCCUUUCGGGGCCUCGUGCCGCCGCCGAGCCCCGCGCGCCGCCCCGUGGCAAGCGCAUAGGGCGAUCCCAGGCCCGGCGCCAUCUUGACACCGGAACGAGGCUCGGCCGCAGAGGCUCCGCCCCUUUUCCUCUCAUGGGACGUCGUGACGUCACGGGGGAAAAGGGCCGCCCGCAUAGGGUUUUUUCAAUGGCGCCGCCAUCUUGGGACGAAAGCGAGGCUGGGCUCCUCCCACCUCGGGGUGGGAGGGGUCGAAUGGAGCGAGGAUUCUAUUUCAGGCUCAAGGAGCAAAGCGGGUUUUUUCCCACCGCUGGUUAGGCAGCGGGUAUCUCUGCCUGUUUUAGGACAGCAGUAUCCCACCCGCUCCAAAGCUGUCCCCCCCCCGACAUCGUUUAAUGUAUUUUUAAUGGCUGGGGAGACCCAGCCAGAUGGGCAGGGUACAAAUAAAUUAUUAUUAUUAUUAUUAUCAUCAUCAUUAUUAUCAUUAUUAUCAUCAUCUUGCCUUGCAUGAAGGCUGUGCAGUUUUAAAAGCUGCCAACUUCUUGCAAACCACACUUCACCAGUUCGCAGGCAGGUUCAGUCUGAUACGGACAGGGGACCUUCCCAUCCACGGUUGCACUGUUUGUUUGUUUAUACCCCACUUGAAUGUUUGAAAACAACAACCACCUCGAAACUGUUUGCAAAGAAGUUAAAAACAAUAAAAUCAAUGUUAAAAUUGUGGUGAUAGUUUAAAACGUAAAGGUAAAAGGACCCCUGACCAUUAGGUCCAAUCGUGGCCGACUCUGGGGUUGCGGCGCUCAUCUCACUUUACUGGCCGAGGGAGCCGGCGUACAGCUUCCGGGUCAUGUGGCCAGCAUGACUAAGCUUCUUCUGGCA
rnacentral:lncRNA from 1 species